rnacentral:rRNA from 1 species
GAUGAACGCUGGCGGCGUGCCUAAUACAUGCAAGUCGAGCGAACGGACGAGAAGCUUGCUUCUCUGAUGUUAGCGACGGACGGGUGAGUAACACGUGGAUAACCUACCUAUAAGACUGGGAUAACUUCGGGAAACCGUAGCUAAUACCGGAUAAUAUUUUGAACCGCAUGGUUCAAAAGUGAAAGACGGUCUUGCUGUCACUUAUAGAUGGAUCCGCGCUGCAUUAGCUAGUUGGUAAGGUAACGGCUUACCAAGGCAACGAUGCAUAGCCGACCUGAGAGGGUGAUCGGCCACACGGGAACUGAGACACGGUCCAGACUCCUACGGGAGGCAGCAGUAGGGAAUCUUACGCAAUGGGCGAAAGCCUGACGGAGCAACGCCGCGUGAGUGAUGAAGGUCUUCGGAUCGUAAAACUCUGUUAUUAGUGAAGAACAUAUGUGUAAGUAACUGUGCACAUCUUGACGGUACCUAAUCAGAAAGCCACGGCUAACUACGUG